CUCGGUCCCCUCGGCUCCGGGGGCGCCCGGCUGGGCCCAGCUCCGCGGGCGCGCCCCCGUCACCCCCUCCCAGGCCAGUUCAGGGCAGCGCCAAGGGGCCGCGGGCUCAGGCUGAGGCCUCCUCCUGCCUAGGCGUCUGGCGUCCGUUUGUCUGUCCGAGGCCUCAGCGCAGCUUACGAUUCUUCAUCAACUCGUAAAAUGAGAUCGCCGCGGAGCUCGAGCCUAUUUGGCGUCUCCGGAGACUAGCAAGACCCUCUGAAAGACACCGCGUCCCCAGGGAUAAUCCCCCGUGUCCGGCAAAGCUGCCCCGCUCGAGCGCGAACCCUGGGACCCAGCGCGGGAGGCAGACCAGCAGCUGGCCGCUGGGCUGUGAACGCCAGGACCGAGCGGAAGCUUCCCGCCCGGCCGCGAUCGGUGCCGCGGCUCUCAGGGAAGUGGCUACGCGCGUCCCUCGGGAAAGCAGAUUAUCGGAGCCCUUUCAGAGAGCGCACAACAAAUGCGCCCGCCAUCGAAUGCAUCAUUUACCACCGCAGAUCCGAGCGCUGAUGGGCAGGCAGAUAGCCCUCUGCUGGGGGCACGCGGGCUCCCCGUGCCCGUACCACUCGCCUGCCUGCCGGGGCCACUGAGUGUGCGCCCCGGUGUGCCCGGCGUGUUUGGAUGGACACGUGGGUGUGCCAGUGCAUGGGCUAACGCCGAUGCAACUGUGCGGGUGUGUCAAACAAGUGUACCACAAAAAAGUGCAGGUGUGCGAGCCCAUCCAU
rnacentral:lncRNA from 1 species